GGUUUCUUGGUCUAGUUGGUCGUAGCAUGUGCUUAAAACGCGGAACAUCGGCAGUUAGAUCCUGUCAUAAAUCA